rnacentral:rRNA from 1 species
CCCUUAGAUGUCCUGGGCCGCACGCGCGCUACACUGAUGCAUUCAACGAGUCUAAAACCUGCUCUGAUAGGGGUGGGUAAUCUUUUGAAUGUGCAUCGUGAUUGGGAUAGAUGAUUGCAAUUUUUCAUCUUCAACGAGGAAUGCCUAGUAAACGCAAGUCAUCAGCUUGCAUUGAUUACGUCCCUGCCCUUUGUACACACCGCCCGUCGCUCCUACCGAUUGAAUGGUCCGGUGAAGUGUUCGGAUCGCGGCGACGUGGGCGCUUCGUCGUCGACGACGUCGCGAGAAGUCCACUGAACCUUAUCAUUUAGAGGAAGGAGAAGUCGUAACA